UACGUAGGGGGCAAGCGUUGUCCGGAAUCAUUGGGCGUAAAGAGCGUGUAGGCGGCCAGAAAAGUCCGCUGUGAAAACUCGAGGCUCAACUUCGAGCUGUCGGUGGAAACUUUCUGGCUAGAGUCCGGAAGAGGAGAAUGGAAUUCCUGGUGUAGCGGUGAAAUGCGCAGAUAUCAGGAAGAACACCUAUAGCGAAGGCAGCUUGCUGGGACGAUACUGACGCUAAGGCUCGAAAGCGUGGGGAGCGAACAGG
rnacentral:rRNA from 1 species